rnacentral:RNase_P_RNA from 1 species
UUGGUUGUCGGAGUGAUCGCCCUAAUUUCAAGGGAGGAAAGUCCGGACAGCGUAGGGCAGGACAGUUGCUAACAGCAACCGAGAGUAAUCUUAGGGAAAGUGCCACAGAAACAAUACCGCCUGGUGCGUCUCGCUAGUGUGAGAAGCAGGGAAUAGGUACUUGUUACUGGUAACUUGGGACUAAAUCCUAUUACCAAGUAACUAGUUACGAUUUACUACGACUCGCUCUAGUGAGGCGUGUUAGGUAAGGCUGAAAAGAGCGGGGUAAGAGCCCGCAGUCGGUGUCGGUGACGGCAUUGGGAGGUAAACCCUGUCCGCUGCAAGACGACUGAUUCUAAUACGCCUGCUCGGCGAGAGUCAGUGUUAGUUCGCAACGAGGUAAUUAGCGAUAAUCAUCCCAGAUAGAUGAUCGCAUAAACAGGAUCCGGCUUAUCGACAACCACUUUU